CUUACGGGAGGCUGCAGUGGGGAAUAUUGGACAAUGGGGGGAACCCUGAUCCAGCCAUGCCGCGUGUGUGAAGAAGGCCCUCGGGUUGUAAAGCACUUUCAGUGAGGAAGAACGCCUGGUGGUUAAUACCCAUCAGGAAAGACAUCACUCACAGAAGAAGCACCGGCUAACUCCGUGCCAGCAGCCGCGGUAAUACGGAGGGUGCGAGCGUUAAUCGGAAUUACUGGGCGUAAAGCGCGCGUAGGUGGCUUGAUAAGCCGGUUGUGAAAGCCCCGGGCUCAACCUGGGAACGGCAUCCGGAACUGUCAAGCUAGAGUGCAGGAGAGGAAGGUAGAAUUCCCGGUGUAGCGGUGAAAUGCGUAGAGAUCGGGAGGAAUACCAGUGGCGAAGGCGGCCUUCUGGACUGACACUGACACUGAGGUGCGAAAGCGUGGGUAGCAAACAGGAUUAGAUACCCGGGUAGUC
rnacentral:rRNA from 1 species